CACGAAAGACCCAGCGUGUGGUGUGCAUGUGGAAUUCUUCUUCACACUCAAACACAGGUUAUGGUAAGCCACUGCUUCCGUCCGCUGCUCCAUGGUUCAUGUAGGGGUUUCAGUUUUCAAUUUCUUUUAGUGGAUUUAGCCCUCACAUGCUAAAUUAACUCUGACUUUGUCUACCACUAAUUCCUACUAGGGUUCUUGUAUGUGCAAGACUUCUGUGAAAAUAUAAAUAUGUGAUGUCCACCCCUUACUGUCUCUAUUCUAUUUUAUGGUUUGGAAAACGCAAAUCAUGUGUUGGUCUGUUUUACAAACAUGGAAUAGCCAGUAUAAUUGAUCUUGCCCCCCUUAUGUGUUGCUCCCUAUCAUUAUUCUGUUACCUUGUUAACUGGCCGUUAAUCUCAUUCUUUGUUCACCCCCAUGGACCUGACUUGAUGGUGAGGAUGGCAUAGAUAUCCAUGCUGGAGGAGUAGGAGGGCAACGGGCAAGUAAUAAUAGGAACCACCAUGAGCCUCACUAUGCGCUAUCCUGGUGAAACUGUUGGGUGCAACGGUGAUGGGCAAGACGAGCAUGUAGAAAGAGACCACAACAGCAGCAGGAUAAGACAUAGUUGUUGAAGACUUGAAAUACACAUGAAUGUACAUGUUUCGAUCUGAUCUCCCCUUAAUCUGGAUUGCCUUCUCUUCACAUGUAUGGUUGGUAUGUUUAGUGAAGCUUCUCAAUAGGUACAUGUCUUAUUAAUAAGUGAUUUUAAAAUAUAAAUAGAAGAUAGAAAGAGAGGGGAGGUUGGACAGCAAGAGAUAGUUAUUGUAAAAAAGAAAGUGGGUCAUGUUUCUCUUAUUGCUCUAUUCUGUCAUAAAUUUAUAAUGCUUGUCGGUCAAACACUAGAGUAGAUUUUUGACUUUCUGUCGGUAAUAAUCAAUGUCAAAUGGAAAAAAUAGAGAACCUUUUCGUGGAGAAAAUUGAAGUCCUUAUUCUGGUCAUAUAAAAUACAAGAUGUCCACCCCUAGUGUCUCUAGUCUAUUUUAUGCUUCAAAAAAUAUAAAGCAUUUGUUGGUUGUUAUAUUUGUAGAGAAGAGGCAAUAUGGAGGAUUUGUUUUUCUCAAGAAAGGAAUAAAUGCAAUCAUGGGCUUGGCUAUUAAUCUAAUUUUGAUGGCUGUAGGGUUGUUUAGAUGCAUCAUAAGACAUUUUUAUAGAAUUGAAAUACACCUGAACAAGUUGUGAUCAUCUGGAAUGUCGUGUCUUCACAUAAAGUAUAAAUAUAAGAUAGGAAAAGAGGGAAGGUCUGAAGAGCAUGAGAUAGUUAGUUAUUGUAAAAAAGAAAGGGGGUUCUAUUCUCUAAUAUCUCUUAUUCCAUUGUAAUGCUUGGUGGCAAUAAACUAGAGUAGAACUUGAUUUUCUGUUAGAGCUAAUCAAUGUCAAAUGGACACCCUUUUCCAUGCAGAAAAGUAAAGUCCUUACGAUAGUCAUGUAAAAUGUGAGAGGUCCACCCCUAUUGUCUCUAGUGUACUUUAUAUAUGCUUCAGAAAAUAUAAAGCAUGUGCUUUUUGUUAUAUUUGUAGAGAAGAAAUAUGGAGGAUUUUGUUUUUCUCAAAAGAGGAUUGAUUAGAAAGGUGGGCUUCAUUCUAACAUGUUAAUCUAAUUACACAUAGGAGCUGGAGUCAGUUUUCUAGUGAUGGACUAGGAUUGAAGCUACUCGACGAGGCACAAACAUGCUACUAUCUUGCUAGGCUGUGGUCUUCAGUUCAUGUCGUGGCUGGGUUGUUGCCAGUUACUUCAACUAGUCAGUUUUCUUGUUCUGCUUGCUCCAGUUACAUUAUGUCCUCCCAACCGUUGUCUGAUCAUGAAUACGUUGUCACAUUGUGCCUUUUGUUUCUGAAAGAUAAAACCUUGUAAUUUUAUUAUAUUACGAAGCCAAGCCGCGCACAUGGGUAUUUUUUGGGCUACCCCAGCUUUCAGGAUCCAGACACUUCAAAAUUGUUUUCUCAAGCUUCUUUUGAUGGUAUUUAGAAACUUGCAUAUGCUCAUUUAUUUCAGUCUAGUAAGCAACUUGAGCAAAAUGAGUCCACAAAUUAUCACCAGGCACGAAUGUCUCAGGUUGACAAAAUCGUCUGCCAGAGUGUGUUUUAUUCAAAGUCCUCAUUAUAGCCAUAUAAUAUUCGAGAUGUCCACCCCUACUAUCUCUUGUCUAUUUUAUGCUUGAAAAAAUAUAAAGCAUGUGAUUGUUGUUGUAUUUGUAGAGAAGAGGUAAUUUCUAGGAUUUUGUUUUUCUCAAGAGAGGAGUAAUGAAAUUGUGUCUUGACUCUAACCUGUUAGUUUGAUUUUGAUGGCUGUAGGGUUGUUUAGUUGCAUCAUAAGACAUCUUUGUUGAAUUAUCUGGAUCGCCUUACCUUGACAUGUCCUGUUAAUAAGUGUUUUAAAGAAAUAUUAUAAUUUAGAAAGAGAGGGGGAGGUUAGCAGAGUAUCAGAGAUAGUUAGUUACUGUAAAAAAGAAAGGGGGUCCUAUUCUCCAUCUCUCUUAUUCUGUUGUUAUGCAUGUAUCUUCCUGAUAUACUAAUAUAAAGUAUAAUUCAUGUGAUUCUCUCUGUUAAUGGUGAUGAAUCAGUCUUGCAAUUGAGGUGCAAGGGCCAUUUUGUGUGCUUUUGCCUCGUAGUUUCCUAUUCAAUGUACCUCUCGUAGCUGCUGAUUUUGAUGUGUUUGGGUUCACUAUCUUAGAGCCUGUUCGGACUCUCUCCGCUCUCCAACUCCACGCCGGAGCGGAGCAACAUCUAGUUCUAAUUUGGGGAGUGGCUGAAAAGGUGCUCCACGCGCUCUGCUCCAAACAGGGCCUUAGUUGAUGAUGUGAUUGGAUUCCAUAUGAUUUUAAAAUGAUCUGGAGAUUGCUUAUCUGGCUCAACACCAACACUUGAUCAGAGAUGGACAUCUUCAAUGAUCCAAUGCUUUUGCUUAUCUGACUUUUGUUGGUGCUUUUAUUCUGAAAUCUAAACUACUGCUUUUAUCCGUCGUUAAAUUCAUAUUAUACUUGAUGUAGACUGUUUGUUAUAUGAAGUGCUAGCCUACAUGUACUUGGUCAAGAGCAACAUGUGGGUUUUUCUAGGACUUGGUCACAAGGCACAUUAUGUUAAUUGUAGCCUGCUUGAUGUAUAGACUCAUGCAAGGACAAUAAUUAGCACCUAAAAAUCAUUGGUAGUGGUACUUCCAUGUUAGAGUUGCUUAUGGUAGCUACACCUUUCGCAAAGCCAUUCAUCUGUUGAUUGUUCCAGAGGCGCCAGCUUGUUGGCAAUUCAUGUAUUGUUUGCUUUGACGCGUGUUUUAACCACUUUACAUUGGUCUCUUAAUAAUGGUAUUGUUUUGGCUUCUUGCGGAAACAAGUAAAUCUGCACCUGCAUGGUUCUUUUUAAAAUAUUUCCUAGGAUUCCCUUUUCGAGAUGACAUGCUUAGUGUUGUGGAGGUCCAUGUUAUCAUGUCGAACCAAAACAUGCACGCUUUGAACUUUUUGUAACAGCAACUUGUCUUGAUUUAUGAAUUGACAGAGUGUAAUUUCUGCAUGCAGGGAGUGGCUCUCUGACGUUGCUCCUCGAGGAUGAUGCACUUGAAACCCUCUUUGGUGAGUUCCUGGUCUCCUCCCUCUCUCUCGCUUGUGUCCUGAGAUUGUCCUGCUCGAUAGCCAUGGUUGGCACUAGUGCGAAUCAUCGACCGAAUGAUUGAGGCCUUGGUUAUGUAUGUGGCCAUGCUUCCUUACUAUGCUGGUGGUCCUCCGGCCACCACAAGUGUUUUUUGUUGAUGAUUGGUGUGACGUUUUUUUAGCUGGGGCUAGUUUCAUGUUGUGCACUUGGCCAUCAUCUUCAUAGUUCUUACUGUAGUGUAGCUAUUUUUGGUGUUUUAUCAUGCCAUUGUCCUAAUCUGCUUGUGGAUGAGAUGCUGGCCAUUGAGUUGAUUUGUCAUAUCAUGGUUCGAAUUGCAAAUAGAACUUGCUACUGUGGAAGUUUACGCGGUUUAGAGAUUGGCCUGGUUUAGUUAAUUGCUAUGGAGUAAUUUUGAUAAGAACUAGAGUAAUUUACUUGUUGUGGGUAUAUAGCUUGUUUACUUUCAGAUGAUGUUACUUUCUGGGUCUAUUUUCCUGAAUUGGCAUGGUAUAAUAACUACAUGUUGAUGGUUAUGCUACUCCUUGGCCAUGCUCUUGUUUGAUAGGCCUGGAAAAAGAGAUAGAUAUUCUCUACUAGAUGUUUUACCAAGUGUUAGUGGUUUGUGCUGCUGAUAAGAAGUGUGGCAUACUUGAGCUAAUCCUGUGUGCAGCUAAUCCCAACAUGGUUUGACUAAGCAGCUUGUUUACUAGAUUUUUUAUUUGCUAAAAAAUUGAGACUCUUGUUGUGCAUUAGAUGCCCGAGUUUGGUGCCAUGGAGAUCGACGAUGAAGAUGUCAUUGCCCACAAAAGUGUCAAGGCAUUGAAGAGAGAAGACAUGUCCCCUGAGAGCCGAGAUGUGGAAAGCAUUAGGUAAAGUGGCAAGAGGAGCCGGAUGUGCAGCUUGUGCUUUUCUUUGUUGGCUGGUGGUUGCUGCUGAAGUGCAGAUUGAUGAUGCCUGGUGAUAUUGAAGUCCUAGUAGAUAGAUAUGCCCUAUGAUAAUUGUUUUCUUGUUGGUGGCUUACUUGUCGGCUGGUAGGUAUUGAGUCGAUGAAGUACCUUGUCGAAUUCUCAGCUCUUGUUGAUGUUCUCUUUUCUCGAUGGAGAGAGAGAGUGAUAUAUGAAGUGUAAAUUUCUGCAUAUUUUUUUCCACGAGUCUCUCCGAAAUGAAACCGGGAAUUGUGUGCCAUGCCAAUCUAUCUAUCUCUCUGUCUGUGAGUUGCCGAGAAGUUUCAAGCUGAGUGAUUUACAUAAUGGUAGUUUGUGCAAGCAUGCAUUUUAUGAUUGUUGUCUGCCUUGGCUUAU
rnacentral:lncRNA from 1 species